rnacentral:lncRNA from 1 species
GGAGACCUGACACAGAUACCACUUCAGCUCUUCACUGUUGCACUUGGAUGAGUUGGGGAGUAAAGAAGGAAAGUAUCAGCCAUGCCUUGGUGGGAGCCAAGAUGCCAGAACUGCAGCCAUGCCAUGGUGUGGAGGAACAGAUGUGACUGAAAUAUUUCCUGAUGGAAAGAAGAUUUUUCAGAAAGUCAACAUAGUGGCCAUUCAACUAGUAUGCUCCUCAGAAAGCAGCUCAGCUCCCCAGGUCUGGGGCUUCCCAUUGUUGAAAUAGUUAGAUUUCUUCCCAGGGAUUCUUAAAAAAAAAUAAAAA